UACGUAGGUGGCAAGCGUUGUCCGGAUUUACUGGGCGUAAAGAGCGCGCAGGCGGUCGUUCAAGUCGCGUGUGAAAGCCCCCGGCUCAACUGGGGAGGGUCACGCGAUACUGAUCGACUCGAAGGCAGGAGAGGGAAGUGGAAUUCCCGGUGUAGUGGUGAAAUGCGUAGAUAUCGGGAGGAACACCAGUGGCGAAGGCGACUUCCUGGCCUGUUCUUGACGCUGAGGCGCGGAAGCUAGGGGAGCAACGGG
rnacentral:rRNA from 1 species